UGGGACAGUAGAGCAUCCUUUUUUACACAG
rnacentral:piRNA from 1 species